rnacentral:rRNA from 1 species
CCUACGGGGGGCAGCAGUGGGGAAUAUUGGACAAUGGGGGCAACCCUGAUCCAGCCAUGCCGCGUGUGUGAAGAAGGCCCUCGGGUUGUAAAGCACUUUCAGUGAGGAAGAACGCCUGGUGGUUAAUACCCAUCAGGAAAGACAUCACUCACAGAAGAAGCACCGGCUAACUCCGUGCCAGCAGCCGCGGUAAUACGGAGGGUGCGAGCGUUAAUCGGAAUUACUGGGCGUAAAGCGCGCGUAGGUGGCUUGAUAAGCCGGUUGUGAAAGCCCCGGGCUCAACCUGGGAACGGCAUCCGGAACUGUCAAGCUAGAGGGCAGGAGAGGAAGGUAGAAUUCCCGGUGUAGCGGUGAAAUGCGUAGAGAUCGGGAGGAAUACCAGUGGCGAAGGCGGCCUUCUAGACUGACACUGACACUGAGGUGCGAAAGCGUGGGUAGCAAACAGGAUUAGAUACCCUGGUAGUC